CUGUGGAGGCCUUGGGCAGAUGCUGGGAGCUCUGAGCACAGACUGGUCCCUCUGUUGGGAGCCUCUUCCCUUCAUCCCUCCUGGUUAACUUGACUCAGCAUAAAGGCCAUUUCUUCUAAGAGCCUGUCCCUGACUCUCCAAUCGGGGAUGUGUCUGUUGUCUCAUAGAGUGCCCAAUUCCUGCCACCAUUUGUCAUUUCCAUUCGCAACAUUUCUUUCAUUGUUUGUUUUUCAGAGUCAGGGUCUCACUCUGUUGCCCAGGCUGGAGUGCAGUGGUGCAAUCAUAGCUCGUUGCCAUCUCGACCUCCUGGGCUUAAGCGAUCCUCCCCUCUCAGCCUCCCAAAUAGCUGGGACCACAGACGUGCGCUGCCUUGCCAGGCUAAAUUUUAAUAUUUUUUUUCCCCACGAGUCAGAGUCUUGCUCUGUCUCCCAGGCUGGAGAGCAGUGUUGCGAUCUUGGCUCACUGCAUCCUCUACCUCCUGGGUACAAACAGUUCUCCUGCCUCACCCUCCCGAGUAGCUGGGAUUACAGGCUCACGCCACCAUGCCCAGCUAGUUUUCUUCUUUAUUUUUUGUUGAGAUGGGGUUUCACCAUGUUGGCCAGGCUGGUCUCGAACUCUUGAGCUCGUGAUCCACCUGCCCUGGCCUCCCAAAGUGCUCACAGGCUUGAGCCACCAUGCCCGGCCCUAAUUUUUAAAUUUGUUGUAGAAACAAGGUCUUGCUAUGUUGCCCAGGCUGGUCUCAAGCACCUGGUCUCAAGUAAGCCUCCCAAAGUGCUGGGGUUCUAGGCGUGAGCCACCUCGCCUGGCGCUUGCACCGUUUUUCUGUGCAUGCAUCUCCACUCCCACUGCCCAGGACCUGUGGACUUAGAUUUGAGUCAUUACUGAGCACCUAGCACCCAGCCUCAUGCCUACCUCCCACCUCGCACUACCUGUUUGCUUGAUGCAUUAAUAAAUAUUCCACCUGAAUCCACAGCCCAUUCACUCCUGUGUUCAAGGGCUAUUUCAGGAAGUGAACCUCAUUUUUGGCAGUGUUCAGUCCAGUGACCUCAGCUCUGUGUACCUGGCAGGGUGGCUACGCCUCUGGGGGAAUUGGAUUCAGGGGUGGGGGAGAAAGAGUGUUGUUAGAGAGCUUGGUCUAGGACUAGAGGAACGUGCCCUUAU
rnacentral:lncRNA from 1 species